AAAUAAUUGCCAAUUAAAUUCAAGAGUAAUUAUGUGUAAUUUUUGCAUGUAACUCCUUUGGAAAUUACUUUAACUUUAUGUUGCUGGAUACUGUUACUAAUAAGCUAUUGAUUAUUCAUGUGCCUUGAAAAUCUGUGCUAAUUCUUGCUAAGUACACUGAUCCUACUGGUGGAUAAGUGAUCUAGAAAUUAUCUUUGUUGUGGUUAUUGUUGCUAUCGUUUUUGUCACAUGUUAUACUAUUGUUAUACCAAAUAUUCACUGAU